rnacentral:rRNA from 1 species
CCUACGUGGGGCUGCAGUGGGGAAUAUUGGGCAAUGGGCGCAAGCCUGACCCAGCCACGCCGCGUGAAGGUAGGAGCCUUUCGGGUUGUAAACUUCUUUUGUCAGGGACGAGUAGAAGACGGUACCUGCCGAAUAAGCCACGGCUAACUACGUGCCAGCAGCCGCGGUAAUACGUAGGUGGCAAGAGUUGUCCGGAUUUACUGGGUGUAAAGGGCGUGUAGCCGGGUUGACAAGUCAGAUGUGAAAUCCUGUGGCUUAACCGUAGAACUGCAUUUGAAACUGUUGAUCUUGAGUACUUGAGAGGUAGAUGGAAUUCCUAGUGUAGCGGUGAAAUGCGUAGAUAUUAGGAGGAACACCAGUGGCGAAGGCGGUCUGCUGGACAGCAACUGACGGUGAGGCGCGAAAGCGUGGGGAGCAAACAGGAUUAGAUACCCGUGUAGUC